CUGGCCUCCGUGGGCCCUCCUGCCCUGGCGCCAGACUUCCGUGUCCCUUCACCUGGCCCGGGCGCCUCCUGCCAACACCCUGAGUCAAGCUGGGGGUGGGGCUCGGGGUGCGUCUACACUGGGCCCGCACCCGGCCAGGAGUAAAUGCAUUUAUUGGGUCACGGCGUGACCUGGCUAGACAGACAGGGCCGCGCCCAGCGGAGUGAGAGAAGGCGUUGCCUCCUUUAAUUUCUCAAUCUUCCGUUCUCUCUACACGCGUUGGUUAAAAUCUAUAAACAUGCAGAUCCUUCACCCCACCCACAUGUUCCGAUUCAGAAGCUGCGGGGAGAGGCUCAGAAUUUGUGCUUGGGCCGCACCCCAGGCUUGGAGAUUACCUUCAUUGUGGGUCAUUUAUUAUGACAAAUACUUUCAAAGAAAAUACAUGAAAAGUUCCUCUGGAUGCUGUGUGACCAAUGGCAAGUGACCACUCUGAACCUCAGUCUCCUUAUCUGCAAAAGUGAGGUAGGAAGAGAAGGAGCCCCAGGGUGUCUGGGGAGGAGGGGACGCUGCAGGCCACCUGGCCCCUCCUGAAAUAGAAGCUCCCUCGGGCAUCUGCAGAGAGCGUGUGCCAACUUGUCUGGGUUUUGAUGGAUGGGGGAUUGUUUUCUUGACUGGAAAAUAUUUGUGUUCCAAAGUUGGCGAGGCUUCCCUCCUGGAUUUUCUCAGCCUGUCAAAGAGCAGAGGAAAAGAGCCAGUGGGAGAGCCAGGGUUCAGAGAGACCGUGGCGGGAUGAGUAGGAGAGCCCGGUGUCCGCAUCACCUGAGUCUCGGUGUCCGUGUCUGUAACAUGGGGACAGUGCUGCUGCCUACCUCACUGGGCUGUUGGGAGAACAAGUGUGCAGCUUUACACACUGCAAAAUGGGGACAUCUUGGAGUCUCAGACUCGAGGGUCCACCUGGGUCCCUUGGGGGCUUGUUAAAUGUCUUUGCCUUCCGGCAGUACUAUUCACAAGAGCCAAAGGUGGAAGUGACCCACAUGUCCAUCACUGGAGGAAUGGAUAAACAAAAUGUGGUCUGUACGUGCCGUGGAAUAUUAUUCGGCCAUGAACAAGAAUGCGGCCGAUUCAUGCUACAGCGUGGAUGAACCUUGAAAACCUUAUGCUAUGUGAGAGGAACCAGUCACAAAAACCAUAUCUGAUUGCGUUUACAUGAACCGUCUGGAAUAGAUAAACCAUCCAUGGAGACACAUGCUAGUGUAGUGCUUGCCAAGAGCUGGGGGAGCAGGGAGCGGGGAGGGCCUGUUAAUGGGUGUGGGGUUGCGUUUGGAGUGAUGAAAAUGUUCUAGAAUUAGAUAGUGGUGCUGGUUGCACAACUCUGUAAAUAUACUAAGAAACCACUGAAUUAUACUCUUUCAAAGGGUAAACUUUAUAAUAUGUGUAUCAUUCCUCAAUAAAGCUGUUAUUGAAAAUGCC